rnacentral:sRNA from 3 species
ACGUGCGCUGCGGUUCCUGCGCUUCAUCCACUCCCGUCUGACGACCGUUCGCUACGUGGAGUUAGCC